AAAAUAUUUUUAAAAAAAACCAUGUUUUCUCAAAACCCACUGGUCCUAAAACGUUACAUAUUCUGAUCAUCAAGAACGACGCAACUCUCUUUUUCAUAUCGAUCAAGAGCAGAUUCUACCUAGGAUUUUCAAGAUCUUCCUUAAUGUCUUUUAUCCAUCAGAAACGUCGUCUCUAUUUGCUUCUCUCUACUACGAAAUUCUGGAGGAUAGCUUACUUGAUUCUUGCAAAUUUUGUGGUGCGUCAAGAUGGAGAACAAAUAAGCAUAGUGGGGAAACAAAGAAUAGAAAAGGUUUUGUUGAUCUUUUUGGAUAUCACUUGACAAAGACUGAAGUUUGAAAGUUUUCUGCUAGAGUUUUGUUCAUUCUUCAGUGGAUAGAUGCAAGUUUAGAAUGUUUGCUACGAAUGUUUUGCAAAACUUUUGAUGUUAUCGAAUAUUUUUUGUUAUGCAAAUAUCAUGAGGCUGAAAUUCACGAGCUUCUACAAUCUGAACCAAUAUUGAGAUAGUGGAAAGGUGCUUUUGACCAGCAUGCAAAAAGUCACGUAAUUAAAUUUGGUGGUGGAAUAACAAUUAAGGAGUUAAAAGGAUGUACCACUUCAAAGGCUGCAUUGUGGGAAGAUCUUAAAACAAGUCGAAAAGAAAAGGAAUCACUAUAAAAAUGCAUAGAUAUUCUAGAGUGUAAAUAUGAACACCUUGAAAAUAUAGUGACCCGUCAGUCUUCUUCAGUUCCAUUCAUUCCAUCAGAUUUGUAAAUAUUCUAUUAGUUAUUAUUACAUGAUGUUUAUUUGUGAAUGAAGUGAUGUUGUUUUCUGGUACUCCUCGUUUAUAUGGGCUUUGUUAUUGCA